UUUCCUACGGGGCGCAGCAGUGAGGAAUAUUGGUCAAUGGGCGGAAGCCUGAACCAGCCAAGUCGCGUGAGGGAAUAAGGCCCUACGGGUCGUAAACCUCUUUUGCCGGGGAGCAAGGGCGGGGACGUGUCCCGGCCCGGAGAGUACCCGGAGAAAAAGCAUCGGCUAACUCCGUGCCAGCAGCCGCGGUAAUACGGAGGAUGCGAGCGUUAUCCGGAUUUACUGGGCGUAAAGGGAGCGUAGGCGGACUUUUAAGUGAGAUGUGAAAUACUCGGGCUCAACUUGAGUGCUGCAUUUCAAACUGG
rnacentral:rRNA from 1 species